AACGAACGCUGGCGGCAGGCUUAACACAUGCAAGUCGAACGCAUCCUUCGGAGUGAGUGGCAGACGGGUGAGUAACGCGUGGGAACGUGCUCUUCAGUUCGGGAUAACCCAGGGAAACUUGGGCUAAUACCGGAUACGUGCGAGAGCAGAAAGAUUUAUCGCUGAAGGAUCGGCCCGCGUCUGAUUAGCUAGUUGGUGGGGUAAUGGCCCACCAAGGCGACGAUCAGUAGUUGGUCUGAGAGGAUGAUCAGCCACAUUGGGACUGAGACACGGCCCAAACUCCUACGGGAGGCAGCAGUGGGGAAUAUUGGACAAUGGGCGCAAGCCUGAUCCAGCCAUGCCGCGUGAGUGAUGAAGGCCUUAGGGUUGUAAAGCUCUUUCGUCCGGGACGAUAAUGACGGUACCGGAAGAAGAAGCCCCGGCUAACUUCGUGCCAGCCGCCGCCGUAACAC
rnacentral:rRNA from 1 species